ensembl:lncRNA
CGCAGCGGACAGACGGGCGGACGGCCCCUCGGCUCCUCGCCCCCUGGGAUGGGAUGGGCCGUGGCCCCAGUGGGAUCAGUGGCCAGACUGGUGGUUAGAGAUGGUUUUUCCGGCAGUCCCUCAUCCACAUGAUGCCAACAGCUGGCCGCAGAGUCCGACCCCCCCCCGCCACCUGCCUGAGAGGCGGAGCCUGUACGCCGAUCUCUUCCUCGUUCACACGUGCUCCAGUCCUCUUCGCCCCAAGAAAUGAUGACCUGUUGUUCAGGUCAGCCAAUCAAAGCCCUGGAGAAGAGUUCUCAGCCGACCAACGGGUGGAUGUCCUUGUCUACUGCUGCUUGCUGUUUUCAGAAUCAAAGCCCUUUUUUAUAGUAAAGCGCAGCGAAAAAAACUGAAAAAAAUAAAGAUGGAGAAUGAAGUAAUUUAUUUUGCAAGACAUCGGAAUCGAUCAAAAAAAAGACACGAGAUGGAGCCUUGAAGCGACUGCACCGAGUAGCAGAGUUUCCACGGGAGAGCGACGCGAGCUAGGAACGGCCGAGCCAAGACGACCUCUGACCCCUCACCGCUGAGGGGAGGGAGGGAGGCGUCAUCUUUUGGUCCUGUUCCUCUUUCACACUCAAUCUGACUUUUAGACGAAGCAUCCCUUUUGUUAUAUAAACUAUGUAUAGAAAGGAAAAUAAUGUCCAUAGAUUUUCAAUUAUUUGUUUUAAAACAAAAAAAGCGUUGAUUAAUGUCGGUCCGUGGAAGGCUGCUGGAGGCCCCGAGCUACCCCAUGUGACCGCGUGUGCCGGUCGGGCAGCCAGUCUCUUUGCUGUCAGUGCUUCUUGUAUGUGCCCUAUCUACGAUAACCAUGACGACCACGUUGCACGUAAAACUGCGCUGCACCGUCCGACCUCCGAAAAACGACAGACUAGACGUAGAAAGGAUGGUGUUUGGGCUUUUUCCUAGAUCAAACGUUGCGUUGUGCACAUAUACAGAUGUUUAAGCCUUACUUUGUAUAUAGACUUUGAACCGCCUUCGGAGUCCCCCUCCAAACUCCAAACGCCCGCUUUGGCCGUUGUGGCGGAAAUGACUAUUUGGGAGACCUAAAAAUGUAAGAUUGUGAUUGUGCGUCAGAGCCUUAGCAGCAGGGAUAGCCCGAGAUUACUGUAAAUGCACUCAUCUUAUGUUUCUUAUUAUGUGCAAUGUUGCAGCUUUAACAUUUUAUGCAACUAUUUAUGAAGACAUCUUGUUGUAUCUGUAAUAAAUGUAGAGAAAACCAUGUACUUGGUACUGCAAGUGAUGCUGGUAGUUGUGUUUAUUUAAUCUGUGACAGUCAAGUAUUAUCAGUAAGGUGUCGAUUUAACAGAGUAUCUUUUUUUUAUUUCAUUAUGUUUUAGACAACAUAAUUAAAAGACGUUUUGUCCUUGAGGCUUUAUAAUUAGGCAUUGGUUCACCAACGUUGACAUAGCUUUAAAAUGCAGUCUAUUAGAAUGUUUGAUGUUCUAACAUUUUGCUUAAGUUAGGUAAAAAGUUAAGACUAGCGCAAUAGAUGGAUGUUGAAACUCAAAUUCAUAUCACAGCUCUAAACACUUUGGGUUUUGGCUUCAAUGGACAUGGACUUAAGCAUUCUUACUCGCGCCUAGAUUCAGUCAAUUACAAAUGCACCAUAAUUUUUCUUUCACCAAUUACAAUAUGAAAUCCCAGUUUUCUAUAACCCUGCAUCUUGUAAAAGGGCUAAACGGUUGUUGCUGUUCUAUCGAGGUGGUUGUAUUGACGGCACAGAACCAAUCAUGAAACCGGGUCGUAUUGAUUCCUACUGGCAUUAUGAAGUCAUCCUGAAACAGUGUUCGUAUUCAUUCACUUCCUCCAGCUUGUGAAAUAUAACUGGUCAGCAGUUUUAAACGGCUUUGGUCUUUUUGGUCCCACGCAUGCCUUAUACAACUCCCUGCUCAUGCUAUUAGGAAAAAGCUGAGGCUUUUUUCAAAUAGCUGGAUUGGACGGCUCAUUUUGGUUUUUCAUUCAGUAUAUAUAUGUUUAUAAAUAAGCUGGUUGUUUUUACCUCCCCUCUUCUUUUUCUUUUUUUUAUAUUUCUGUGUACAUAGCCUUCAUACAUAUUUCUGUCAUAAUUUUUCGUUGAUCUGGCAGUCAGUUAUUUGAGAAUGAAAUGCACUCAACGCAUUUACAUGAAUUACUUGACAAAAAAAAGAAUGUAUCCAUUUUUGAUUUGUCAAUCAUGUUGUGUUUGUAAAUAUGUUGUGUUAAUAUUUGAAACAUUAUUUUGAUUGUUAAAGAAUAAUUCCAGAGUGUAGACACCAAUAUUUUGCGAAUUGGUUCAGUAUUCUUUUUUUUUUUUAAUCCUCCUGUGACUUACUAUUUGGGCUAGAAGGGAGGUUAAUAGGGCAAGCUGUAAGUUUGAAAAGAGAAGGGCAGUUAAGGGUUGAUACAUGUCUCAGUAUGUUCAGAAGGAUUUGAUAUAGGCCCAUAAUAAAA